CAUUAUUUAAUGUUUAGUAGCAGUAUUUAAUAUUAUCAACAGAAGAGCAGCAGCAGCAGCCUUGGAGCGAUCCGUAACUUGGAGAAGCUAAAAUGUUUGGAAUGAAACUGAUGUGGAAGACAGCAGCAGCCGAAAAACUGAUCCGUGGAGGGAGAAGGGGUGCUGUGUGACUGCAUUGGAUUUGGACCACAUCUUGAGCAUGCUCCUACAAAGUCAGCCCUCGUAAGUAGGAAGAGGAGAAGGAGGAGUUGUGGAUCCCGGCCAGAGACUAUUGAAGUUUGGAGUAAAGGUUGGAAGGUACCAAACAGCCCCCAGUUAAGGAAUCGCUCGGCUUUUAAGGCGUUUGCCACUGAAGCCAGAAGAAACCGUUCCGAAACAGUAUCUCGAAUUAAGACAAGGUGGUGGUGGUUUAAAUAGAAGCAAGGAAAGCGAGCAUCUUAGCAGGCUGUUAUCCUAAGCAGCACUGCAACGGGGGGAAUAAGGCCAAUUGGUUUCUUAGUAAGUAUGCUGAGGAUUGGGGGCGGCCUUAGGUGCCUUCAGGAUCCAGAUGAAGGGCAGCAGCACCGUGCGUGGCAGAUGUUGUGAGGACAGGACGCGUUCACACGGGGAAGCUGCUGCCUCGGAUUCCACCAGAACAUGCGCAUCAAAACAAUGCACCACCUACUGCUAAACUCCCGAGACUCUGCACCCUGAUCACCCCACAUCCCCAGUUUAGUUCCUCACCCACCGCCUUUUACACCCCCACCCCAGGGAAAGUUAUUGUUCCUAACCCCGCCCCCCUCUCCCGCAGGGCUUUGAAAGCGCUAGAUCGCCUCCCCAGCAACACACAUUGAACCCAUCUGGAAGAAGGAUCCGGUUUAAAUUACAGGACAAAUCUGUACAAGAGACAGUGGCUGGGUCUCUGUGGAUCGUUCCCGUCUGCCUUCCAUUAUUUUGACCCAGGGUGCUGUGCAGCAAACGCUGCGUGUGUGAUCCAUCUGUGUAGGCUUCCCCCCUCCCUCCCUCUCUCCCUUCUCAGCUUGUCCCCCCCCCCCCGCACGCUCUCCGCCACUUCCUUCACACUAGCGGUAUGGAAAGCCCUUGACGCCUGCCAGUCUGUUAUAAUGCUCGUGGGUUUACAAUCCAGAAAGCGAGGAAGGGGGAGGAGGGGGGGAGGAGGAGGAGAAAAGAAAGUGUGUGUGCCGCGGGGGUGCGGGGGGCUGCGCGCGGUGGUGAGCGUCUUCUCCCCUCCAUCCAUUCUCGGACUGGCAGCGUUUAACUCCCUGGCUUCUCCUUAAAAUAGCUCGCUUUCAUCUAGAGGAGGUGACCUCUUUUUGUGGGAUCCUUUGCUUCCCACUCGCUCGCUAUUAAGGAGAUGACAAUAUGACAUCCCGGCAGAAGACGAAGAGCAAAUGUGUUUGGGGGUAAACAGGAUUGGGGGAAGCGCUGGAAAUGUGAUCAGCAGAUGGAGAGGGGGGUUUGGGGGGCGGGAGGUUAGCCUGAGAGGGAGGGAGGGAGGGAAGGAAGGAAGGAAGGAAGGAAGGAGAAAAACUUUUAAGCAAAUGCUUAUAUUUGAGAAUAGUGUCAAAUUUUAAGAGGUGGACAAAAUAAUAAUAAUAAUAAUAAUAAUAAUAAUAAUAAUAAUAAUAACGAUGAUGACGACGAAGAAGGAUUUAGGCAGGUGCCUUUUCAUUCAGCUCGCACUUCUCAUUCACUCCUAAUUAGCUCUCUCCUACCGAUGUCAAGAAAGUGGCUUGCUCGGAUGGAUAUUAAAGGUUGACAGAGGGAGCGCUGCCUUUCUAGACCAUCGCGCCAGAAGGACUCGCGAUUCCAGCGCUUUUUCUCCGCAGGACAGAGAGAUGUCUCUGAGGCAUCUCAGAAGCUGGGCACGGGUUAAGAAAGACACACACGUUCAGGGAUCUUGCUCCUAACAAGUGAGCUGUACACGUGCACUGCGAUCCUAUAGAGGUCUGCUGAGAUGGAAGUCCCGUUGGGAUCAAUGGGACUUAUUCCCAUGGAUGAGAUGGCGCAAGUUUUGCUAUAUAAUCCCAAGCACUGAGAAGUGUGAAUCCUGGUAAAGCACUCUUACUAUGAAGUAAGCUCCACUGAGUACUGUACUACAGGAAUUACUUCCGAGUGAACGUCCUUAGGAUGGCGGAGCAAAUACACCAUGCAUACGUUAAUAUCCCCAGAAGUAUCCAUCCAUCCAUCUAUCCAUCCAUCCUUAUCUCUCUAUCAACCUACCUACAGAGUGGGCUAUGUCCCAGGAAUCUCGUCUUUGUGUGUGGAUUGACUUAUAUUAUCCGUUCCCCACAAACCUGUCUCCAGCUCAGACUGGGACUCUUCCAGAUUCAGUGGAUUCUGAAGAGAUUUAGGUGAUACCCAUUUCGUUAUUUGAGGUCUGACUCUUUAGGGUUUUUUUCCUUGAGAACAAGACAUUGUGUCACAAUCUUAUCUGCUCUGAGCCUGUGGCAUAGGGCGAGCUGUAAAUCGAACGAAGGAAGGGAGAAAACAGAUAUCAGUUAUCUGUGUACACACAAGCCAAACUUUAGGGGUCAGCUUAAAUGGAUCAGUUUCAUGUAUUCGCGCGCGCGCGCUCUCUCUCUCUCUCUCACGCAUAUAACGGAUUACAUCAGAAUAAGAUCAGAAAGCAGAGUUCCUCGCUUCCCCUCUCUCAUUAUUUUAAAGGGAAACAAAACAAACAUUUUCUCUUUUUGAGCCCAUUUUAACAUGGUGUGCGCGCGUGUGUGCUGUGUAUAUUCUAUAUCCCUAAAUACAAAUAUAUAUAUAUUAACAAUCCUACACAUGUCUUAAUCAGAAGUAAGUUCCAAUAAGUUCAUAGAGGACAGCAGUUUAAGCCUCUUUUCUCUCUUUCUUCCAGACACUGGGGCUGCCAGCCUGUUACCUGGAAGUAACCUCAGGGGACUUACAUAUGAGUAAGAGUGCAAAGGACUGCUGUCUCACAGCCCAAUCCUAUCCGUGUUUAUUGUGAGUCCCGUUCAACAUAAG
rnacentral:lncRNA from 1 species